rnacentral:rRNA from 1 species
UACGUAGGGUCCAAGCGUUAUCCGGAAUCACUGGGCGUAAAGCGUGCGUAGGCGGAUGUUUAAGUGCAAUGCGAAAUCCUGUGGCUCAACCAUAUGGACUGUAUUGCAUACUGGAUAUCUGGAGGAAUGCAGAGGCAAGUGGAAUUACCGGUGUAGCAGUGAAAUGCGUAGAGAUCGGUAGGAACACCAAUGGCGAAGGCAGCUUGCUGGGCAUUUUCUGACGCUAAGGCACGAAAGCGUGGGGAGCGAACGAGG